ensembl:lncRNA
CGGCUCUUUAGGCCCAGCGAAUGACUUCUGUUUUACGGAUAGGAGGGAUGGGUGCCCGUGACUGCCGGAGGGCACGCAGCUGGCCGGCCUCUGUUGACCAUGACGCAGCUGUAUUCACUCCUAUGCCCCUCCUAGCCUUCUCAGCGUGGUUCCUUGUUGAGUUUCAAAGAGGCUCAUGGGACAUAAUCUAAACACAGCCCUCAACACCCUGAUCCCCCGCCCUCACCUCCUGACCUGUCAAGCCUGCAGCUUCAUAAUCGUGAGAUGAAGCAGAGCAAGAAUAUCGGCUACAGACUGGAUGAGAUCCUCCUGGUAAACACCUAAUCAGCCCUCCCAACCUCAGCAUCACGCCUUCGGCAGCGUGAUCUCCCAGGUUCUUCUCCAACCACGGCGUGCCAUGUCUCCUGCAUCUGCUUUUCCCACCAGGCCUUGGGCAGAUGUGCUGUCUGAGGAGUUGCUGGCUUGAGCUGAGAGAUGAAAAUAGACAUGCCUACAUCCUCCUGGUCAACCCGGCGCUUUCAUCACCUCCCCUUCUCAGGGGCUCAUCAUUGUUCUUGUAGCCACUGUGGACUUGAAAAAUGGAUACAAGGUAUUCACAGGCUGCAAGGCCUC